UACGUAGGGUGCAAGCGUUAAUCGGAAUUACUGGGCGUAAAGCGUGCGCAGGCGGCUUUGCAAGACAGAUGUGAAAUCCCCGGGCUCAACCUGGGAACUGCAUUUGUGACUGCAUGGCUAGAGUACGGUAGAGGGGGGGUGGAAUUUCCGGUGUAGCGGUGAAAUGCGUAGAUAUCGGAAGGAACAUCAGUGGCGAAAGCGACUUCCUGGACCAGUACCGACGUUCAGGCACGAAAGCGUGGGGAGCAAACAGG
rnacentral:rRNA from 1 species